rnacentral:tRNA from 1 species
GCCUUGGUGGUGCAAUGGUUACGCACUCAGCUGCUAACUGAAAGGUUGGUGGUUUGAAUCCACUCAGCAGCU